ACUCCUACGGGAGGCAGCAGUCGGGAAUCUUGGGCAAUGGGCGAAAGCCUGACCCAGCAACGCCGCGUGAGGGAUGAAGGCCUUCGGGUCGUAAACCUCUGUCGAGAGGGAAGAAAGUGGGAGUCGAACAGGCUUUCUGCUUGACGGUACCUCUAAAGGAAGGACCGGCUAACUCCGUGCCAGCAGCCGCGGUAAUACGGAGGGUCCAAGCGUUGUUCGGAAUCACUGGGCGUAAAGCGCGUGUAGGCGGCUUGGCAAGUCGGAUGUGAAAUCCCGAGGCUCAACCUCGGAACUGCACCCGAUACUGCCUCGCUAGAGUCUCGGAGAGGGUGGCGGAAUUUCCGGUGUAGAGGUGAAAUUCGUAGAUAUCGGAAGGAACACCAGUGGCGAAGGCGGCCCACCUGGACGAUGACUGACGCUGAGACGCGAAAGCGUGGGGAGCAAACAGGAUUAGAUACCCUGGUAGGCUCU
rnacentral:rRNA from 1 species